CUUAACCCUAACCCUAAACCCUCAACCUUAAACCAUAAACCCUAAACUCUAAGCCAUAAAGCCUAAUCCGUAAACUCUAAACUAUAAACCCUAAACCCUAAACNCUAAACAAUAAACCAUAAACCCUAAACACUAAACCCGAAAGCCUAAACCCUAAACACUAAACCCUAAACCCUAAAUCCUAAACCCUAAACCCUAAUCCUUAAAACCAAAACCCUAAACCCUAAACCUUAAACCCUAAUCCCUAAACCCUAAUCCGUAAUCCCUAAACCCUAAUCCCUAAUCCAUAAACCCUAAACCCAAAACCAAAAACACUAAACCCUAAACCUUAAACCCCUACCCUAAACCAUAACCUUAACAAUAUACUCUAACCCUAACCCUACCCAUAUACUUUAACACUAACCCUAACCUUAACCAUAUCCCUAAACCCUAAACCCUAGACUCUGAACCCUAAACCCUAAACCCUAAACCAUAAACCCUAAACCCUAAAUCCUUAACCCUAAACCAUAAACCCUAAUCCUUAAUCCCUAAUGCCUGAUCCCAAAUCAAUAAACUCCAAUCCCUAAACCCUAAACCUUAAGCUCAAAUCCCAUCCCUUAACCUUAGUCCUAAACCCCUAACCAUGAACCCUAAACCGUCAACUCUAAACCUUAAACCCCUAACCUAAACCAUAACCUUAACAAUAUACUCUAAUCCUAACCUUAACCAUAUACUUUAACCCUAACCAUAACCAUAACCUUAUCCCUCCACCCUAAACCCUAAACCAUAAACUCUAAACCCUAAACCUUAAACCUUAAUCCCUAAAUCCUAAACCCUAAACACUAAACCCUAAACCCUAAACCCUAAACCCUAAACCCUAAACCAUAAACCCUAAACCCCUAAACCAUAAACCCUAAACCCUAAACCUUUUAACUCUAAACCUUAAACCCUAAACCCUAAACCCUCAAAACCUAAACCCUCAACCCUCAACCCUAAUCCCUAAACCCUAAACCCUAAAUCUGGAACCCUAAACCCUAAACUCUACGCUAAACCCUAAACCCUAAAUCCAAAAUCCUAAACUUUAAACCCUAAACCUUAAACCCUAAACACUAAUCCCUAAUCGUUAAACCCUAAACCCUAAACCCUAAAUCCUAAACUCUAAACCUUAAACCCCAAUCCUUAAUCCCUAAUCCUUGAUCCCUAAUCCAUAAACUUCAAUCCCUAAACACCAUAGAGCAGACAAGUCAAGAGGGUGGACAGAAGAAAAUUGAGCCGGUGGGACGACGAAGAUCCCAACGUGAAGAAAAAGAGUUGAAAUUGCUGGAAAUUAUUUUUGUAUUCUUAAGAACAAUUUUUAUUUUAAGUUAUUUUCACUUUUUACUUUCAUUGGAACAUGUAAUUUUUGAAUUUUUGGAACAAUUUUUGGGCCCUAAACCCUAAUCGCUAAUCCCAAAUCCCUAAUCCCUAAUCCCUAAACCCUAAACCUUAAACCGUAAAUCCUAAACCCUAAACCCUAAACCCCAAUCACUAAACCCUAAUCCCAAUUCCCUAAAUCCUAAUCCCUAAUACCUAAUCCAUGAACCCUAAAUCCUAUACCCUAAACCCUAAACACUAAACCCUAAUCCUUAAUACCUAAUCCCUGAUCCAUAAACUACAAUCCCUAAACCCCAAACCUUAACCUCAAAGCCCAUCCCUUAACCCUAAACCCUAACCCUAAACCCUAUCCUUGAACCAUAACCAUAAACACUAAACCCUAACCCUAAACCCUUACUAUAAACCUUAAACACUAACCGUAAACCCUAAACCCUAAACACUAAACUCUAAAUACUAAACCCUAAACCCUAAACCCUAACCCUAAUCCUUAAUCCCUAAUCCUUGAACCUAAACCCUAAACCCUAAACUCUAAACCCUAAGCACUAACCCUAAACCCCAAUCCCUUAACCCUAAUACCUAAACCCUAAUCCUUAAGCCCUAAUCCCCAAACCCUAAACCCUUAUCGCUAAUCCAUAAUCCCUACUCCCUAAACCCUAAUCCCUAAACCCUAAACCUUAAACCGUAAAUCCAAAACCCUAAACCCUAAACCCCAAACACCAAUCCCUAAACCCUAAACCCUAAUCCCUAAUCCUUAAUCCAUAACCCUAAACACUAAACCCUAAACCCUAAUCCUUAAUCCCUGAUCCUUGAUCCCUAAUCCAUAAACUACAAUCCCUAAACCCCAAACAUUAACCUCAUACCCCAUCCCUUAACCCUAGUCCUAACCUUGAACCCUAAACCGUACACCAUAAACCUUCAACCCUUCCCUAAACCAUAACCUUAAAGCGUAUACUCUAUCCCUAACCCUAACCAUACACUUUAACCCUAACCAAACCUUAACCUUAUCCCUAAACCCUAAACCCUAAUCCCUAAAACCUAAUCCCUAAACCCUAAACCCUAAACUCUAAACCCUAAUUGCUAAUCCCUAAUCCAUAAACUCCAAUCCUUAAAACCUAUACCUAAACCUCAAACCCCAUCCCUUCACCCCAGUCCUAAACCCCUAACUAUGAACCCUAAAUCGUAAACCCUAAACCAUAAACCCCUACCCUAAACCAUAACCUUGACCAUAUACUCUAACCUUAACCCUAACCACAUACUUUAACUCUAACCCUAACCUUAACCUUAUCCCUAAACCCUAAACNCUAAACCUUAAACCAUAAACCCUAAACCCUAAACUCUAAACCCUAAUGCCUAAACUCUAAACCCUAAACCCGAAACCCUAAAUUUUAAACCCUAAAUCCUAAUAUCUAAUCCCUAAACCCUAAUCCCUAAACCCCAAUC
rnacentral:lncRNA from 1 species